ACCAAAUUAUAAUAUAAAGACUCCAAUAACGAAGCAAAUACCCAAAAAGAAAAUUGAACAUUAUAUCUAAAUAUUAGGGAAAAAGAAAAAAAGAAAAAGCCAAGAUUGAAUUAUAAGCUAUGGUUUCGCUUGAAUUCAAGAAUCUAUAUCUGCAAAGUUUGUAAUUUCCUUUAUAUUUAUGUGCAUUUUGGUUCCAUCACAAAGUUUCUUCUCUGCUCUUUCAAGCCCUGAUAAAUGUUUCGAGGGCAAUUGUGGAGUCACUGAAUGAAGUCCUCGGUUUCUUUUGGAGGUGCUGAUACACAACGAGGCAGAGAUGACUAAGUGACAAAUGGAAUAUGGUGACAACAUAUGACUUCUAGAGAUUUCUCAUUGUGUAUCUGGUCAGAAAUGUGUAGUUGGUAGCACAUGGGCUGUUACCUAAUACGGGUUUACCAUCCUUCAGGAUGGAAGAAUGAAAAUACUGGACUCUACUACAAUGAUUUAUAGAGAACUGGACCCAGUUCUUGCAUUUAUUAUUUGUGCCAAAUGUUUUUGAACGUGCUAUUCUUUUGUGAAAACUCUGGCAUCAAUAGACUAUGGUUGGCAAGAUAUGUAAUAAGAUUAUAUCUAAUUUGUUAUUGCUA